rnacentral:lncRNA from 1 species
CAUCAACAUCCCUUACUCCCCGCCCCCCCACGAACAGGCCUGCGUAGUCGGUUUGGACCACGUGACAGCACUACUGGCCACACUGGAUUGGACCAGGGCCGGUCACCUGAUCCACGCCAGCCAAUCAGAGCUCUCUCCAGAGAAGGCCGCACAGGCCCUUGCAAACUGGGUUGGAAGCACUGGGCUGUCUUUGAAGAGCCUCCCGCAGAGGUCCCCCGGUCCCUCGGCCCUCUGGUAGCCUUCUGCUCUGAACCCCACACUGUCACCUAUCACAGUCCCACCCUUCGUGAUGAAUCUCCUGCGAAAUCAACAUCUUCAUUAGGGCCUGGAGAUGGAGAGAGCCUGAGCUUGCAGGAUAGACCUGACCUCGUGUCCUAUCCUUCCUGGGGGCUGCAACCCAUCUCACAGCUCCUCACAACAAGCCCAGUGGCCAGAAAAGGAGUCACGAAAACUGACAUCAGAUCGUGGUGGUCCCUGCCCCUAUCACCCCAGAUCUGCCACGGCCCAUGGGGUGAUUCAUCUCUCCUCACCACCGCCUAA